CAAUAGCGUAUAUUAAAGUUGUUGCAGUUAAAAAGCUCGUAGUUGGAUUUCUGGUGGGAGCGAUCGGUCUGGCGCUUAGCGCGAGUACUUGCAUCGUCUCCGGCCAUCCUUGGGGAGAGUCUGUCUGGCAUUAGGUUGUCGGGCAGAGGAUCCUCAUCGUUUACUGUGAAAAAAUUAGAGUGUUCAAAGCAGGCUUAUGCCGUUGAAUAUAUUAGCAUGGAAUAAUAAGAUAGGACUUUGGUACUAUUUUGUUGGUUUGCGCACCAAAGUAAUGAUUAAUAGGGACAGUUGGGGGUAUUCGUAUUCCGUUGUCAGAGGUGAAAUUCUUGGAUUGACGGAAGACGAACUACUGCGAAAGCAUUUACCAAGGAUGUUUUCAUUAA
rnacentral:rRNA from 1 species